UGUUCCCCUGGGCUCGAGUGUGCGGACAGAGGCGUAAAAUGCACCCCUUGUGACCGGGAAAGACGCACGACGACCCACCACCACCCCUUGCCCCCAGUUCUCUCUACCCAAGCCCCUGGAGGAGGUUACUGAAAAAAACGUGUAUGGGCAAGGAACGCAUUUACACUGAAAAGUCAUCCUUCCUUUCCCCCACAUCCUUUCCUUACUGCCCUCGCAGAACAGCACUUGGGACAGGCGACAAAGAGCCAGAAUCCCUUUGAUUUGGUGGUACCCAGAAUUGGAAGGACUUAGAUUUUAUCUCCCUGGCUUUUUUUGAGACUGGCACAUAAGUCACCCUGAAACUAUUCCUUGCUCCGUGUGAAACCACUAGCGAGAAGUGAUGGAGGAAGAGUGUGGGUGCUGAAAGCUCUUCUUAUUGAGACCCAAGUUGGAAUCUGAGACGAAGCAGCUGCUUUUCCAACUGACUGACUAGGAAUGUAUAUUAUUCAGCAGCAAUGGACAUGGACGAUGACCACCGUGCUAUGUGGUCCUAAAUGAUGAAAACAGAACAAACUACUGUGCUGUGGUAUCCUCAGAAUCUACCUGCAGCCUGGCGCACCGCAAGUGCUCAGUACAGGUGUAGGGUUCACUUCAGAUGCUAAGGAUGCAACCCCCGACAUUGUGUUACAUUGUCAUUUUCUAAGUCUGUAAAAGGUUAAAGACUAAAAAAGCAUCUGCACGCAUUUCAAA